GUUCCUACGAGCUAAGUUGGUACGACUUCCAACGACGCUCUUUUGUCUUAGGAGUCGAUCACGUAUUAAUUAUCUAAGUGUAUCCGGUGUGUUCGGACGUUUUGUACGAGGUGGCGAAAUAUAGAACGUAAAUUAGAAUGUCUUGAUGUAGGUUAGAUUCUUGACGAUAGAUGAGAAUCAACAAGGACAAGCAAUCAGGUUGCUUGGAACAGCUUUUGCAAAUGUAAGAAGAAAUAUUUGCACCGGUGACGAGAUGGCGACGCUAUUAGUCCUGGCGAUACAAUAACCAACGACCCAGGUGGAAAAGAAAUGGAGGACUUGGAACCGUAGCGAGGUCGUUUAAUCCGUUGCUAUUUUUCAUAAAAUAGUGUCGUAUGUUUAAGUAUGACGAAUAAAUGAAUUAAUCGAAUGGAAAAGAAAGAAGAAAACGG